rnacentral:rRNA from 1 species
CCACAUCACGAAAAGUGGAUUGUACUAGAAGUCUGCAGGCUGACCCGCAAGGGAGGCAGCGGCCCAAGGUAUGAUCCAUGAUUGGGGUG